rnacentral:rRNA from 2 species
UUCCGAACUCAGAAGUGAAACGAAAUAGCGCCGAUGGUAGUGUGGGGUUUCCCCAUGUGAGAGUAGGACAUCGCCAGGCU